GGAAGUAGAAGUCGUAACAAGGUUUCCGUAGGUGAACCUGCGGAAGGAUCAUUAUUGCAUAACCGAGGUGCGAGGGCUGUCGCUGACCCGAAAGGUCGUGCACGCCCGAGUGCCCUCACACACAUCCAUCUCACCCCUAUGUGCACCACCGCGUGGGUCCCCCUUUGGCUUGUUCGGAGGGGGGCUUACGUUUUCACACAAACUUUGUAUGCAGUGUAGAAUGUAUUUUUUGUUUUUGCGAUCACGCAAUCAAUACAACUUUCAACAACGGAUCUCUUGGCUCUC
rnacentral:misc_RNA from 1 species